GUAGGGAAUCUUGCGCAAUGGGCGAAAGCCUGACGCAGCAACGCCGCGUGGGGGAUGACGGCUCUAGGGUUGUAAACCCCUUUCAGCAGGGACGAAAAUGACGGUACCUGCAGAAGAAGCCCCGGCCAACUACGUGCCAGCAGCCGCGGUAACACGUAGGGGGCGAGCGUUGUCCGGAAUUAUUGGGCGUAAAGAGCUCGUAGGCGGUUUGGUAAGUCGGAUGUGAAAACUCAGGGCUCAACCCGGAGAGGCCAUCCGAUACUGCCAUGACUAGAGUCCGGUAGAGGAGUGUGGAAUUCCUGGUGUAGCGGUGAAAUGCGCAGAUAUCAGGAGGAACACCAACGGCGAAGGCAGCACUCUGGGCCGGUACUGACGCUGAGGAGCGAAAGCGUGGGGAGCAAACAGGAUUAGAUACCCCGGUAGUCC
rnacentral:rRNA from 1 species